rnacentral:lncRNA from 1 species
AUACUUUAGAUUAUUAUAUUAUUCUUAAAUGUUUGCCUAAACAUUUGUAACAAGAGUUUGGUUGAAAUAGCAGAUGACUCCAUACUUGGCAAUUAGUCUGCUGCAAAGAUAUAUUUUCUAAUUCCUCUUUAGGUGAAGAACUAUAAAUAAGAUCAAAACAAAUUAACAAUUAGGUAAUUGUUUGGGUUCUAAUGAGUAUUUC